rnacentral:rRNA from 1 species
UACAGAGGGGGCAAGCGUUGUUCGGAAUUACUGGGCGUAAAGGGCGCGUAGGCGGCCUCUUAAGUCGAACGUGAAAUCCCCGGGCUCAACCCGGGAACUGCGUCCGAUACUGGGAGGCUUGAAUCCGGGAGAGGGAUGUGGAAUUCCAGGUGUAGCGGUGAAAUGCGUAGAUAUCUGGAGGAACACCGGUGGCGAAGGCGGCAUCCUGGACCGGUAUUGACGCUGAGGCGCGAAGGCUAGGGGAGCAAACGGG